rnacentral:lncRNA from 1 species
GCAUUCUUUCGGAAUCAAGGAAGAGAUCGGUGUGCUCAUUCUUCCUACCUCUGUGCACCACGGUCCCGGGAGGACCUGGGCCCGAGGUGGGCCGCGGAGGUGGCCUAAACCCGCCGGCCGACCUAGCCCCCAGGUCCAGCCUCCGUCUGAGCUCCUCCGUGGCCCUCAGCAUUCUAUACGUUCCUGCCCCCACUUCCCAGUUCUGUCCCGAACCUCCAGCGGUACUUCUCCCUACAGGAACAUCGGUGACCUGGCAGAAGACUGCGAGGCAAAUCAUCCAUGGGGGCCUGGUUAAUAAGGUGGGAGUCCAUGUCUGUCCAGAGUGCUCAGCAGUGAAGCAGAGGUGCUUUCCUCUAAUGCCGUCAGCCUGUCCUCGAGCACUCUCUUGUUUGGGACGACGCAAGAAUCACAGUGUCCUGGCUCCUCAGCCAGACAAGGUCACCACCCCAACAACCUAACCUUGCGGUGGGAACCCAAAUGAAAGGCCCUCUACCCUGAAGAUCAGGCCCGAAACGCCUCCUGACACAUAAAUCCAUUCCCGAGUAGCCUCGCAGCUGCAGGCUUCGCUGCCAAGAGGAUGAGUCUCACCAAAAUCUCAAGGGCUUUAUCCGCUUUCUCAUCAAGGACCUGUGCCCUGGGGGACGGGACUAUCUAAAGGAAAAAUGCUGGACUUCCUGUCCUGGCUCAGCGGUUAGUGAAUCCGACUAGGAACCAUGAGGUUGCGGGUUCAAUCCCUGGCCUCACUCAGUGGGUUAGGGAUCCAGUGUUGCCAUGAGCUGUGAUGUAGGUCACAGAUGCGGCUCAGAUCCCGCGUUGCUGUGGCUGUGGUGGAGGUCGGCGGCUACAGCUCCAGUUGGACCCCUAGCCUGGGAAAUAGGCCGCAUGUGCAGCCCUUAAAAAGGCAAAAUUAGAAAUAAAUAAAAACAAAGGAAAAAUGCUGCUUCUGCUAUAAUCAGUCAGGGCUGGUCCAGGAGUGCAUCAAGGGUACUGGCAUCCUGGGGUUUCCCACCCCGUGGCCUGGCUCCAGCAGUUCCAGACCAAGGAUACUAGUCACCCCUAGAUGGCUGUUGUUCAGUGUCUGAGUGUAGCAAGAGUCGGGGUGCCCCAUGCUACCAGGAAGUAGCUAGGUCACUUGUCGCCCAAGUUCCCCAAAGAAUUGGGUCCCCUGGAGUUCCUAGAAUCCGACUAGGAGCCAUGAGGUUGCGGGUUGGAUCCCUGGCCUCACUCAGUGGGUUAGGGAUCCGGCGUUGCCGUGAGCUGUGGUGUAGGUCGCAGACGCAGCUUGGAUCCCGCGUGGCUGUGGCUGUAGGCUGGUGGCUACAACUCUGAUUAGACCCCUAGCCUGGGAACCUCCAUAUGCCACGGGCAGGGUCCUAAAAAGAUAAGAAGAAAAAAAAAAAA